rnacentral:misc_RNA from 1 species
UCCGAGUUGACCCCGGCAGUCUCCUGCGAGUCCCCGCCAUUACGCGCUGGCAACACAGGACAAGGGUUGCGCUCGUUGCGGGACUUAACCCAACAUCUCACGACACGAGCUGACGACAGCCAUGCAGCACCGGUGCAGCACCCUCGAAGGCGGCCGGAUUUCUCCGGCUCGCAGCUGCAUGUCCAACCUGGGUAAGGUUCUGCGCGUUGCGUCGAAUUAAACCACACGCUCCACCGCUUGUGCGGGCCCCCGUCAAUUCCUUUGAGUUUCAUUCUUGCGAACGUACUCCCCAGGUGGAUCACUUAAUGCUUUCGCUUGGGCGCUGACUGUGUAUCGCCAGCACCGAGUGAUCAUCGUUUACGGCGUGGACUAC